rnacentral:rRNA from 1 species
GAAUUCACUAGUGAUUCAGGCCUAACACAUGCAAGUCGAGCGGUAGAGGGAAGCUUGCUUCUCUUGAGAGCGGCGGACGGGUGAGUAAUGCCUAGGAAUCUGCCUGGUAGUGGGGGAUAACGUUCGGAAACGGACGCUAAUACCGCAUACGUCCUACGGGAGAAAGCAGGGGACCUUCGGGCCUUGCGCUAUCAGAUGAGCCUAGGUCGGAUUAGCUAGUUGGUGAGGUAAUGGCUCACCAAGGCUACGAUCCGUAACUGGUCUGAGAGGAUGAUCAGUCACACUGGAACUGAGACACGGUCCAGACUCCUACGGGAGGCAGCAGUGGGGAAUAUUGGACAAUGGGCGAAAGCCUGAUCCAGCCAUGCCGCGUGUGUGAAGAAGGUCUUCGGA